ACCUAAUGUAGCAACACCACUUCCUGCCUUGACAAGGAAAGGAUCAGCAUGGCCAUGGUAACAACCCUCAAACUUGAUAAGCUUCUCCCGUCGAGUGAAGGCACGGGCUAGGCGAAGCACACCCAUGCAAGCCUCUGUGCCUGAAUUGACGAAUCGUACCAUUUCUAUGCUUGGAACUGCUUUGAUCACCAUCUCUGCUAAUACAUUCUCUAGAAGACAAGGGGCACCAAAGCUGGUACCUUUCUUCAUCGUUUCAGCCAAGGCUGCAAGUACCUGAUCAUCCGCAUGACCAAUUAUUGCUGGACCCCAAGAACCAACAUAGUCAAUGUACUCAUUGCCGUCAAUGUCCCACAUGCGAGAGCCCUUCACAGAAUCCAUCACUAUAGGUUGUCCACCAACGGAUUUAAAAGCCCGUACCGGUGAAUUUACACCUCCCGGCAUCAGCUCCUUGGCUACAUUGAAAGCUUCUUCGGAUUUUUUGAUUGUGUAAUUCUUCAUCUCUUCCACAGAGAGCACCAUUUUCACGCUACAACAAGACGAUCUCCAUGAAGGAUUUCCUCUCUUUCUUUGGGAGAGAUUCCCAGUAGAAGAACAUGAUAGCCCUAAUCCAAUUCCGACGCCAGUGAUCGUAGCAGCCAUUUCGACCGUAACUUAUCAGUUCUCACCUCCGUCUGCGUUCGGUCAAUAAGAUAAAGUGAU
rnacentral:misc_RNA from 1 species